CACGGAGCCCCUGCCCAGCUGCCCUCCUUGACGUCAGGAGCUUCCAAGACCCCCACCUGCCUGCCCUGCCUGCUGACCCCGAAGCCCAGCACCCGCCCAUAAGGCCUCCCCCACCUCUUCAUGCCCACGAAGGCUUUGAGCCACAGGCUCCAGCCCUUGAGGUCCCGUGAGUUCAUCCAUAGGUGUGAUGAGGUGGCCACUUGGGUCCUCGCCGGGCUUUCCGCGGAGUGAUACUGGCUCAAGACGGACCCAGGGCGAGUCCUGAGGACACGUCCAGCCCACUGCUGCACACGACAGAUGCUGCAGUCGAUGGAGCCCUGUCUGCACGCUGCUCAGAGCCCAGGAUGAAGGGGCCACAGCAGCAGGGCGGGUUCUCUCAUGCCAAGGGUCCUCCAGACAGCGGGAGCAGCCCUGGUGACUCAUCGUCUCAGAGGAGGAGAAGGAUGGAGGUACAUGUGCGCAGGGCCAUCGCACCCACUUUCCCGUCCCUGCCUCUCAUGUCUGCCCUCAAGAGGAGGUGCCAUAAGGCAAGGGGAAGUCCUCUUGGCCCGGCAUCCAGGGGCCUCAUCCAGUGCCUGGGACACAGUGGGCACAUGAUAAGCGUCCACCUCCACCAGCAUCAGUGAGGCGGAGGCAGAGUGGGAAAGACACGUGAGCCUCAGGAGUGCAGAGAAGUGCCAAUAAGUAUGCAAAUGAGGGCUCCGGAAUGCUCUUCUUACUUUCCAAUUCAAUUCCAGUUACCCGGGGGGUAAAUCUCUAUAAAUUAUGGUGGAGUGUGACUUGUAAAUAACAUUUUUCUGACAUCCCCAAA